GGUGGCUCAGUGGUAGAGUGCUUGCUUUGAGUGCAUGAAGCCCUGGGUUCGAUUCCUCAGCACCA
rnacentral:tRNA from 1 species